CCUACGGGUGGCAGCAGUGGGGGAUAUUGCACAAUGGGGGGAACCCUGAUGCAGCGACGCCGCGUGGGUGAAGAAGCGCCUCGGCGCGUAAAGCCCUGUCAGCAGGGAAGAAAAUGACGGUACCUGAAGAAGAAGCCCCGGCUAACUACGUGCCAGCAGCCGCGGUAAUACGUAGGGGGCAAGCGUUAUCCGGAUUUACUGGGUGUAAGGGGGGCGCAGACGGCGAUGCAAGCCAGGAGUGAAAGCCCGGGGCCCAACCCCGGGACUGCUCUUGGAACUGCGUGGCUGGAGUGUGGGAGGGGCAGGCGGAAUUCCUGGUGUAGCGGUGAAAUGCGUAGAUAUCAGGAGGAACACCGGCGGCGAAGGCGGCCUGCUGGACUGCGACUGACGUUGAGGCUCGAAAGCGUGGGGAGCGAACAGGAUUAGAUACCCGUGUAGUC
rnacentral:rRNA from 1 species